rnacentral:tRNA from 1 species
GGCGGUGUAACUCAGUGGUAGAGUGCUUGCCUAGCAUGCAUAGAUCUGGGUUUGAUCUCCAGCACUACCA